rnacentral:lncRNA from 1 species
GGUGCAAGGAUGCACAGUUUGGGUUUCACUGAAUCCAUUGCCGGCGAAGGUAACAAAGCUUAUUAGGUGAUUCCUGGAAGUGAUCAAGCUCCAAAAGGAGAUCGUAAGGGGAGAAUUGGAGGCUUGGGCGGCUUCAGCGGUCGUAGUGAGAAGGCUGGGUCGAAGGGUGGCACUAAAGAUGGUGGAUCGCAAUUUUCGAUCUCGGGUGGGGGUGAAAGGGGAAGUCAUGGCCUAUAGUCUUGAGCUAGGCCAUCUACUUCUCCGAUUUGAGGUGAUUGGGGAGAGAGAGCUUGUUCUUGGCCGGCUGUGGGUUG